CAACAGUUUGGUGUGUGUCAUGGGUGCCAACACAUGGUGUGUGAUUCUCUUCUCUUCUACUAUCCCUAUAUUAGUGAUGCAGAUUACAUGAUUUGCUCAAGCUGUCGGUGAUUUAUAUAAAAACAAAAACAACAGUAUGAGAGAUUUCGCUCUUUUUUUUUUUGAGGGGCUUUAGCACUGGUGUUAAUGCAGAGUUGCUGAUUCUGGCUCUGCAGGUGUUAGUACUGGUAAGCCAGUGGAAGGUCUUGGUCAGAUGUCAAGAGGACCUCGGUGGAAAUACGAUCAAGGUGAAGAUGACCCAUGACAGGACAGCUAUGGUGAAUGCAAACUUGGGAUUUAUGGUCCACUAGUAUGUAAUCCAGCAAACAUGAGGGAUUUGUUGUACUACGACUGGAUUAAAACAGCUCUUAUAAAACUUUGCCAUGAAGAUGAUGGCUGUUAUUACCAUGAUGGUGCAAUACUUCAACAGUUACAAGAAGAAUUUAAGGCUCUCCUUGUAUCACUAAUUGAGGGACUCUUCAGCCCUGAAACAACUCUCUACUGUUAAUGAGGUUGAUGCUUCCUCUGUAGGUGUUGGUUGUGUGUUACUCCAGAAACUAAAUGGCCUGGAAAAACCUGUACAUUUUACUAGUAAGAAAUUUUCUCCAGUAGAACAAAAUUAUUCUCAACUUGAUUAAGAAGGUCUAGCUUUAGUGUUUGUUGUUAAAUAAUUCAGAUAUUUUUUGCUAGGGAAAAAGUUUGUGGCUAAAAUAGAUCAUAAACCAUUGCUAAUGUUAUUUGGAAAAGGGAAAUAUAUUCCAGUAAAUGCAAAUGCAAGAAUUCAGCAUUGGAAAUAAGUCACUCUGUCUGACUUUUUUGGGUUAUCCCAGGUUCUCUACACAUAUGCUGCUAUGUAUGAUAAUUCUAUGUAACUGUAUUGUGUAUACCUGAAUAAAUUUACUUACUUACUUACUUACUUACUAGCUCAGUAUAAUUAUGAUUUGUUAUUCAAGGAUGGCAAGGAAAAUGUUAUUGCAGAUGCAUUAAGCAGAAUACCAGUUGAAAAUUAUAGUUUAAGUCAGGUACACCUCUGGAAUCUGUAAGACUUGUAGAUUCUCUGGAUUUCCAAAAUUUGUCAUUUGAAGACCUCAAAGAACAUACUAGAAAAGAUGUAAAGUAAAAGGACACAAGUGCAACUAACGUGACAUUUUAUUGU